AGUGAACGCUGGCGGUAGGCCUAACACAUGCAAGUCGAACGGCAGCACAUUAAGAGCUUGCACUUACGGGUGGCGAGUGGCGGAAGGGUGAGGAAUACAUCGGAAUCUACUUUUUCGUGGGGGACAACGUAGGGAAACUUACGCUAAUACCGCAUACGACCUACGGGUGAAAGCAGGGGAUCUUCGGACCUUGCGCGAUUGAAUGAGCCGAUGUCGGAUUAGCUAGUUGGCGGGGUAAAGGCCCACCAAGGCGACGAUCCGUAGCUGGUCUGAGAGGAUGAUCAGCCACACUGGAACUGAGACACGGUCCAGACUCCUACGGGAGGCAGCAGUGGGGAAUAUUGGACAGUGGGCGCAAGCCUGAUCCAGCCAUGCCGCGUGGGUGAAGAAGGCAUUCGGGUUGUAAAGCCCUUUUGUUGGGAAAGAAAAGCAGCAGGUUAAUACCCCGCUGUUCUGACGGUACCCAAAGAAUAAGCACCGGCUAACUUCGUG
rnacentral:rRNA from 1 species